ensembl:lncRNA
GAUUUUUAUGUUGUAGCUUGUUACCAGGCUACAAGAGUCUCAGCAACACUACAACUACUAUGAUAACCAAAAUAAGCAGUAAGUUGACAAUGACUUCCUACUCCCAGCACAUGAGGAAGCAUAUCCAUGCCUAGCUUAGAGAGCAAUUAUAGCUUUUGGAGACCAGCUGGCCCAUCUGUUCCUGGUGCUGCUGCUACUACCAGCAAGGUGGAGUUCAGCUUGGAGGAGCUGCUCAGGCUUUUUCUUGGGCCUGUCUCCCAUGCCCAGUUGAGCCCCUGACACCUCUGGCACCGCCUCUGAUGUUCCAGGCUGUACAAACAGGCUACAGGGGAAAAAAGGAACUGCUUAAUAUGCUGUGAGAGCUCCUUGCACUAUGGAUCACUGUGAAGGGAAGCACAGUCCUGAGGGCAGCAGCUCCUGUUUGCAGCAUACAGAGUCCUUGAUUGAUCUUGGCCAUAAGGAUGAUUCAGAGUGAAACUGCAAAGCAGAGCAAAACCUUUUUUCUGCCUUCUGCAACUCAGAGAAAAAGAUACCCAGGGUAUCUCAGCCUCCUGAAUAAACCCCUGCGGUCACGGUGUUCAGCUGCUUGGUGUGGCAAUCCCCCCUCUGAGAACGACCCGGAGGCUGUCAUCUAACAAGAGGCACCAGUGCUGGAUGGGAUGCCAGGUGCCAUUUCCGUGCAGCAGGGCCAGUUCCAGCCCCUCCACCUGCCUACCUGGGGGUGCCAAGGACACUGAAACGACUGCUUCUCAACCACCUGGUAAAAUGUUUUGUGGGUUUUUUCCGGUUUAUUUUUAACACAGAUCAGUUCACUGAUCUCAUUUUCCAUGUGGCCUCAGGGGGUGCCUUGGGAAGAAACAGUUGUGCCAAAGCAAACAGUGUGAGAUGGGAACAAGUGGCUGAAGGUCAGCAGUGCUGAGCUGACGCUGUCCCGAGGAGCGCUGCAGCCAGGGCACUGCUCCCACCCGGCACGCACAGAGAGAUGAAUGCCUUGGGGGCCCUGCGGGCACUGCCAGGGGCUGCAGCAGCCCGCAGAUGAAGGCUGCUGCAGAAGGAUGGUUUGAGGGUUACAGUAUAAUCCUUCUGGAGGCUCUGACAUCACAAAUCAGUUGUGGCACUUGCAUAGAGCAAGGUAGUUCAGGCUAGUGUAUAGUCAGGGCUCUUCUUUAGCACUUUCCUUUUCUACAUGUAUGUUAUGAAGACAGAAAUAAUGGGGCCCUUAAAACACAAGAAGUGUUCUUUUAACACCCCAGUUAGAUAUCUUAGAAAGGUAACAUGUAUCACCUGCACUGUACUUCAAGUAGUAUUUAACUCUGCUUUUAUUAGCUUAUCAUUAUUUUCCUAAAUUUCAUUAAGAGCCUGAGGUUGGAAAAGUGCACACGAAAUAAAAACAAGCUCUACCUUCCUGUCAGCUGCUAACAGUCUUUCAGGCAGUUAAUCAGGAUCCUCUAUGAGAAUAACAGAAAUGAUAUAGUGAAUAAGUCCUGCUUGGUCAGGUUUAUUACUUAGUUUACCAUCUUUGCUUCCUUGAGAAGAUGGUUUCUGAGGCUAUAUGAGAAGGUCAAGCCCCUUUUGACCUUAGGGUUGUCAGUUGGAUCUGGAGAUCAGUAGAAAUUCUAGGACACAGCUGUGGAGGUGUGUGAG